rnacentral:lncRNA from 1 species
CUCUCUGCCCUACCCGUAGGUACCGGGCCGCUGCCUCUCGCAGCUGACUGCGCCUGCCCUAUGGGCCCAGGCUCCACAGUCUAAAAAGGGUCCAGGCACGGAUCGUCCCCAAGCACUACCCGCCAACGUCGUUUCACACGAAAUGCUCUACAGAGCUACAAGUAUCACUAUCGGCUCCUAAGCACCUAGUGCGAGCCACCAGCCCCGCGAGUGAUCCUUGGUACGCUUCACACUUAGCAACGCUCAAGUGCUACUGCCAACACACUCUCCUGGCUGAAUCAGAAUCCACAUUCUACGGACAGCUAUACUCAAGCGUCCUACACUAUCGCGUCUCUUGCCAGACAUCUCACGCUAGGCAAUUCAACCUAUGUCUCAAUUACGCAACCACAAUUCCUCAACUUAUUUGAGGUACAACUUAACUAACUCGCCAAAACCAGGCGAUCAUCUAACCAUGCCACAACAGUGACGCCCUUACCACUACACAAUCCAUCGGAAAUACCAUCUGGAUUUUCGAACUCUAGAAACGUCUUCUAACGUUUCUACUUUAAUUCUCAUUACCACCCGAAUGGUUUAGAGAAUAGGUCCACCAUGUCCAUCUUCAUCUCGAGCCCCAACAUUGGCUCACUGUGACUGCUCGCUAGCACGAUCCAACUGUCUAUUCCACAAUAGACAAUAUAUUCUCUUCCUCCCUGCAUGCUAGGGUCAAAUCCAAGUUUCUAUUUCAUUCCUCUCGAAGUAAGAGGUCAACCAACAGACCUUUCCGAAUUCUAGGAUAACGACUACAACUCCCUUCCAAGUGUCACUUAACAUUCGAUUAACCACUUAAGCUCAAUAUCAGUCGCUUAUCGUUCAUUCUUCACUAAUCAAUUCGCGCAUCUUCCGCCCAAAUAUCACUUAACUUCGACCAUAAGAUUCAAUUUGAAGUCCAUAGCUUAGGACUGCGUAUAACUUUGACACAUUUUCUGUCGAAGUUUCCUUAUUUCAUAAUCGGCCUUGUUUCCAAUAUCUCUUACACUGGUGUACUAAUCAUAGCUUAGCAUAUAGAAAAUCUUUCUACCUACUUUUCCAUCAAAUAUAGGCGGAUUAAACCACAUAAACGCCGUCAGUCCUACUAACGAUUGCUUGUGCUCAGCCCUUGUUGCAGUCGAAUCAGAAUCAGACGGCCCAGAAACCACUGGAGGGAUAAUCACUGAAAAAGGGGGGGCACAAUCGCUGGCGGAUCAGGUAUAGGUGCAUCCUGACUCCCAGAUACUGGUGUUGUCGCCCGUUGCGACACUAGAUCCUAUAACCUCAUUAUGUUCUCUUCCUGCCUCUGCAUAGCUCCAGCUCCAAUGCGCUCACCGGAGCACGUAGCUCCAGAACUUCGCUAGAUCCAGUCUGCUCUGGCAUCCUAGAAGGUGAUGCCGGAGUGGAUCUCGUCGCACGUCGCGACAUUUCUCUUGAAAUGAACCCUUUACACUAGUAAAACAAUACCAAUCAGGCGAAAGCAAUCAAGUAUAUUUAUACUCAACUCUUAGCUUUAUGUUGUGGGCCCCCAACAUAACUCCUUAGUUGUAUAUAAAUAACACUUGGAUCAGCCCCUAAUUAACAUUAGAGACUUACUAACAACUAACCAAAUUUAUUUAGCUUUCGCUAUCAUUAGAUUCGCGCCACUCGCGUUCCUGGUUCCUAGGUUUCCAUUCCUAAGUCCCCUAGGUCAUCCUAGACUUUCACUAUCACUUGCUCUGAUACCACUCUAUCUGUCACGUCCCGAGCCUCGCCUAUUUGGUCGAUCCGGGCCCGUACACAGACGCCGAACGAACAGUACCUCCUCUGUUCGCCCAAGGCUCAACAACAACGGAUACAUGUAUAAAGAAAUUAAACAAUUCCCAGGAUCACAUUUCAAUAUACAUGGCUUGCACGAUGGCAAGCAACAACACAAGUGAUAGUACGUCUAACUAAACAUAUAAUCCACUGUAAUUUAAAACUUUACAUAACUGAAACAUUUAGUUAUUACAUGCUUUAUAUACAAUCAUUUACAUGUCUCUGUACAUCGAAAUAGAUAAUACAUGAACCCAAAAUGGUAUACCACUAGUACUCGGGUGUCCACUAGCUAGGCUGCUGGCUCUUGCCUCGAUCCUCGGCCACAAUACUCGUACUGGAACCUGUAUGGUUAGUGGUGUGUGAGAACUACAAGAAAGUUCCCAGUGGGUUCGGCUGCCGACUUCGCCGACUCACCCACUAGGUCUAUUCAGGCAUAUGUAGGCAAGAAAAGUAAGCAAAUAGUAACCAACUAUAACAUGUAACUACUACAAUGCCUGUACAAAGCUGAAAGAAGUAACAGAUAUGAAAACUGUAAAUAUGCAUGCAUGCUUUUCAUUAACUUUACCUAAUCUUUUGAUUAACCCUCUGGUUAACAGCUGGACAAGUACGUUAGUCCAUAAAUUUACCCAAUUCAGUGGUUAACCCUUUGGUUAACAAUAACUCACCAACGAAAUCCCUCACGGGCCCUAAGCUGCCUCCCGAUGGGACCGUCUGUCGGACAAGUACGUUAGUCCUGGGGCUAGUACGUUAGCCCAACAAGUGACUACUCCGGAGCUCACUGCCUGGGGGGAGCGACCACCACCAAGCUAAGAAAACAGACUAUGUGAGUAAGAUCUGAUCCCCUUUUAGAGGAUUCAACUGACAACAAUGUCACAAUUUAACUCUAACUAGUUCUUUAUACUAGUUUCAUAAUUGCAUUUCUCGAUGCUAACCAAAUCUCUAAUCAUGAUGUCACCAAGUUUACUAUUGUCUUAGUCCUUUACAGUUUCAUAAUUUCACUGUUUAUCUCACAAUGCUAUCCAAUUCUCUAGUUAGAAUGUCACCAAGUUUACUAUUGUCAAAGUCCAUGCAUUCAUAGGGUUCUAUGUCCACAAUCUAAGGUUCACAAAUUCUCAUUGUUGAUAGGAAUUCACAUUUUCACUCGCUCAAUGCCAAACACCCUAUAAUGCGUGACUACAAAUAUAAAUAUGCUCAACGAAGAAUUAUAGACAUAAAAGGUGAUUCAAAGAGUUCGGAUAGCACCACCCACCUGUAGUGGUGUCAAUCAACUAAAAUCCACGUCUCGGAAAGCGUCGAGACUAUCUCUCGCGACUCCAUGCAAUUAGGACUAGAACGGCCGCUACCGUAAUUAGCGCGUCGUCGACCUGUCGGAAAGUCAAAUUAGACUCUUGGGCACGUUUACUUUUCACUUAUAAAGGAUUAGAAAAGAUUAAACUAGAGUCAAUACUCAUAUUUUACAAAUUAGCAUUUCAAUGCUAUAUAAAACGGCAACUAUAGCCGAAAAACUUCUUUUGGCGAUAUCUUUGCGUAGGUUCGUCGGAUUGCCGAACCGACUUCGCCAACGCGUUUCUUUUACCCUCAAUUUGGUUUACACGCGGUCAAUUUCGCAUUAGGACUCUUAUUUUGCAAAAGUGCAUUGCCGGGGUCAGUUUUCAUUUAAACCCCGUUUUUAUAGAAACCCUAACUUAUUUUGCAUCUUUUCAUUUUCUUUCUUUCAUUUUUUCUUCUUAUUCUUUCUUUCUUUUCUUUUCUUACUUUCUUUCUUUCUUUCUUUCUUUUCUUUCUUUCUUUCCUCACUUUCUUUCUUUCUUUCCUUUUCUUUCCCUGCAGGCUGCAGCUGCUGCUGCUGUUGAAGCUUCUCUGCUGAAGCUGCUGCUGCUGCGGACUGCUCAGCAGCUAGCUGAGCUGCUGCUGCUGAAGCCCUGCUGCUGCUGCUGUUCUUGCUAAGCUGCUGCUCAGCAGCUUGCGCAAGCUGCUGCUGCUGCUAAAGCUCUGCGCAAGGCUGCUGAGGCUGCUGCUGCUAACUGCCGAGCUGCUGCUGCUGAUUCUACUACUGCUGCUGCUGAAGCCCCUGCUGACAGCAGCUACCACUGCUGACUGCCAAGCUGCUGCUGCUAUUACUUGCUCAGCCUCUAGGCUGAGCUGCAGCUGCUGCUGCUGAUUGCUUGCUGCUGCUGACAGCAGCAGAGAAAAGGGAGUGAGGGGGGGAAAGAAAACAGAGCAAAGAGAGGAAAAGAAAUAGAAAUCUUUACCUUUCUUUCUUCUUUGUCUUUCUUCUUCUUCUUCUCUUUUCUCUUCUCUUCUUUGCUCCUUCUUUUCUCCUUCUCUCUCUCUGGACGUAGGCAGCAAGAAUGAAGAGGGAGGGGAUAAGGAUGGAGCUCCCUGGCAGGGGACUUAGUGGAAUUCCACUAACUUGGUGAUAAUUACCAUAAUGCCCCUCGACUAAUCCGUUUAGCGACACGGAUCAACUACCUUUCGCAGGCCCUUCCGAAAGUCCGAUUGAGCUCAAAUUUGGCAGGAAUGUUCGUUUUUACUUAACAAGUCCACUGAAAUUUUAACAUUUCAGUUUCGACCCCGUUUGGUCACUGCGAACUGUCCCGAACUGUAAUCUUUAUCAGAUAACUUCCAGAUGCUAUUUCUCUCUCUACAGGUGUCAGAAAAAUCUGAAACUUCAAAACUAACCUUAUAAUAAUGUUCCUGACAUCUCUGCCAAUUUUCGUAAUUUUCUGACACUGUGCAUUUUCUGCUAAUUUUCUCAGUCCCGUUCUUUACAGAAAAUUUCAAAUCUUCUGUUUUUGCUCCGAUUUUAACACGAACACUUCCAAAACAUGCCAAGGGACUUUCACAAGCUACCAAUUCAAUUUGGAAGGCAUUCCUUUUCAUUUUGACAUCAUAUGGUUCAUUUCGACCAAAUCGACUACAUAAUUCAGCAUUCGAGUUACAAUGGCAAUUGGAGUUCUUUUGUCACUUCGUUUCCACUUGUAUCUAUUCCCACACUUCCAAAGUGUGCCAAUGACUGAUCUCAAGCUUCUAAUUCAGUUUAGAAGUCUCUAAUUUCCAUUUUAGCAUUAUUGUGCCCACUUUGAUCACAAUUAGCUUCUAAUCAAGUUUCAGUCUAUUACAAUCUCCCCUCCUUAAAAUAGUUUCGUCCUCGAAACUCGAUUUCAUACUUCAAUUCUCCUGGUCAAAUAGAUGAGGGAAGAGAUUCCAUCACUCGCAAUUUCCACUUCUCAACGAAGGGUUCAUUCUAACAGCUCCACACUUAAAUGAUCUGACGGCAUAAUCCGCCAACAUUUCCCGUGGCUACUCAUUACUCAAGUGUCUCCUAGAGACCACUUUACUUUCUCUUUAUCCUUGGAUGCUACAAGCCACCAUCAAUGUCCAUUCGUCUUGCAACGAAUUUAUACGAACCCGCCAUUCAUGGUUCAGGCCAAAACAAACUAACAGAGUUGUCGGUCACACCGACCAUCGGUUCCCACAGGUGGACCAGGGGCCACCAACCCUACGUAGGCCUACAGCCGAAACCGAUCUCGACGACGCCUAGCGUCUCUCGCUCGCAAGCGCAAACCCAAUUAUCACGUAGCAAAGUUCUCAUUUGAGACAUCGCAUACCUGCUCCAACUGGGAGCAACCGAGACCCUAAACCACGCCAAAUUCUCGGGUUGGGUCGCUACACACCCUGUGUGUCCUCGAUCUCACGAUCUAACACGUGGCAUUCCACGUACUCGGGUCUAUGCUCGGACUACCGUCCUGACCAAAACUCUCUGCCCUACCCGUAGGUACCGGGACGCUGCCUCUCGCAGCUGACUGCGCCUGCCCAAUGGGCCCAGGCUCCACAGUCCAAAAAGGGUCCAGGCACGGCUCGUCCCCAAGCACUACCCGCCAACGUCGUUUCACACGAAAUGCUCUACAGAGCUACAAGUAUAACUAUCGGCUCCUAAGCACCUAGUGCGAGCCACCAGCCCCGCGAGUGAUCCAUGGCACGCUUCACACUUAGCAACGCUCAGGUGCUACUGCCAACACACUCUCCUGGCUGAAUCAGAAUCCACAUUCUACGGACAGCUAUACUCAAGCGUCCUACACUAUCGCGUCUCUUGCCAGACAUCUCACGCUAGGCAAUUCAGCCUAUGUCUCAAUUACGCAACCACAAUUCCUCAACUUAUUUAAGGUACAACUCAACUAACUCGCCAAAACCAGGCGAUCAUCUAACCACGCCACAACAGUGACGCCCUUACCACUACACAAUCCAUCGGAAAUACCAUCUGGAUUUUCGAACUCUAGAAACGUCUUCUAACGUUUCUACUUUAAUUCUCAUUACCACCCGAAUGGUUUAGAGAAUAGGUCCACCAUGUCCAUCUUCAUCUCGAGCCCCAACAUUGGCUCACUGUGACUGCUCGCUAGCACGAUCCAACUGUCUAUUCCACAAUAGACAAUAUAUUCUCUUCAUCCCUGCAUGCUAGGGUCAAAUCCAAAUUUCUAUCACACUCUUGCAUGUACCGCUCGGAGUUCGUAUCGUUUCCAAGUAUACAAUCUUCUUACUGAAGGCAAAUUACCAUCACUUCACUUAUCCAAUACUACACGCGGCCUUGCCGUGUGAAAGUCACCACAAUCAUUCCUCUCGAAGUAAAAGGUCAACCAACAGACCUUUCCGAAUUCUAGGAUAACGACUACAACUCCCUUCCGGGUGUCACUUAACACUCGAUUAACCACUUAAGCUCAAUAUCAGUCGCUUAUCCUUCAUUCUUCACUAAUCAAUUCGCGCAUCUUCCGCACAAAUAUCACUUAACUUCGACCAUAAGAUUCAAUUUGAUACUUCCUCAGAAGUUCAUAGCUUAGGACUGCGUAUAACUUUGACACAUUUUCUGUCGAAGUUUCCUUAUUUCAUAAUCGGCCUUGUUUCCAAUAUCCAAAGAUCUGCCUCUUUUCCACCAAAUAUAGGCGGAUUAAACCGCAUAAACGCCGUCAGUCCUACUAACGAUUGCUUGUGCUCGGCCCUUGUUGCAGUCGAAUCAGAAUCAGACGGCCCAGAAACCACUGGAGGGAUAAUCACUGAAGGGGGGGGGGCACAAUCGCUGGCGGAUCAGGUAUAGGUGCAUCUUGACUCCCAGAUGCUGGUGUUGUCGCCUGUUGCGACACUAGAUCCUGUAACCUCCUUAUGUUCUCUUCCUGCCUCUGCAUAGCUCCAACCAACGCGCUCACCGGAGCACGUAGCUCCUGAACUUCUCUAGAUCCAGUCUGCUCUGGCAUCCUAGAAGGUGAUGCCAGAGUGGAUCUCGUCGCACGUCGCGACUUUCUCUUGAAAUAAACCAUUUACACUAGUAAAACAAUACCAAUCAGGCGAAAGCAAUCAAGUGUAUUUAUACUCAACUCUUAGCUUUAUGUUGUGGGCCCCCAACAUAACUCCUUUAGUUGUAUAUAAAUAACACUUGGAUCAGCCCCUAAUUAAUAUUAGAGACUUACUAACAACUAACCAAAUUAAUUUAGCUUUCGCUAUCAUUAGAUUCGCGCCACUCGCGUUCCUAGUUUCUAGGUUUCCAUUCCUAAGUCCCCUAG